GGUUAAGUGACUAAGCGUAUACGGUGGAUGCCUAGGCAGUUAGAGGCGAUGAAGGACGUGUAAGUCUGCGAAAAGCUGUGGGGAGCCGACAAAAUGCUUUGAACCACAGAUGUCCGAAUGGGGGAACCCAGUGCAUUUAUGCAUUAUCUGCAACUGAAUACAUAGGUUGUAGAGGCAAACGAGGGGAACUGAAACAUCUAAGUACCCUUAGGAAUAGAAAUCAAUUGAGAUUUCCUUAGUAGCGGCGAGCGAACGGGAAACAGCCCUUAAGCAAUUUAUAAGUGAGUGGAACAAGCUGGGAAGCUUGGCGAUACCGGGUGAUAGCCCCGUACACGAACACGAAUUUAUUGUGAAAACGAGUAGGUCGGGACACGUGUUAUCUUGACUGAAUAUGGGGGGACCAUCCUCCAAGGCUAAAUACUCCUAACUGACCGAUAGUGAACCAGUACCGUGAGGGAAAGGCGAAAAGAACCCCUGUGAGGGGAGUGAAAUAGAACCUGAAACCGUAUACGUACAAGCAGUGGGAGCCUCAUUCGUGGGGUGACUGCGUACCUUUUGUAUAAUGGGUCAGCGACUUAUAUUUUGUAGCAAGGUUAACCGAAUAGGGGAGCCGUAGCGAAAGCGAGUGUUAACUGCGCGUUUAGUUGCAAGGUAUAGACCCGAAACCCGGUGAUCUAGCCAUGGGCAGGUUGAAGGUGCAGUAACAUGCACUGGAGGACCGAACCCACUAACGUUGAAAAGUUAGGGGAUGACCUGUGGCUGGGGGUGAAAGGCCAAUCAAACCGGGAGAUAGCUGGUUCUCCCCGAAAGCUAUUUAGGUAGCGCCUCGGACGAAUACCACAGGGGGUAGAGCACUGUUUGGGCUAGGGGGUCAUCCCGACUUACCAACCCCAUGCAAACUCCGAAUACCUGUGAGUACUAUCCGGGAGACACACGGCGGGUGCUAACGUCCGUCGUGAAGAGGGAAACAACCCAGACCGCCAGCUAAGGUCCCAAAGUCAUAGUUAAGUGGGAAACGAAGUGGGAAGGCUAAGACAGCUAGGAGGUUGGCUUAGAAGCAGCCACCCUUUAAAGAAAGCGUAAUAGCUCACUAGUCGAGUCGGCCUGCGCGGAAGAUGUAACGGGGCUAAACUAUGCACCGAAGCUGCGGAUACGUGUUUACACGUAUGGUAGGGGAGCGUUGUGUAAGUGGAUGAAGGUGGAUCGAGAGGUCUGCUGGACAUAUCACAAGUGCGAAUGCUGACAUGAGUAACGAUAAUGGGGGUGAAAAACCCCCACGCCGGAAGACCAAGGUUUCCUGUCCCAUGCUAAUCAGGGCAGGGUAAGUCGGCCCCUAAGGCGAGGCAGAAAUGCGUAGUCGAUGGGAAACAGAUUAAUAUUUCUGUACUUAUAUAAUCAGUGAAGGGGGGACGGAGAAGGCUAUACAAGCAUGGCGUUGGUAGUCCAUGUGAAAGUGUGUAGGGAGAGAGCUUAGGUAAAUCCGGGCUCUUAUAUUCUGAGACACGAGACGAGACUCUACGGAGUUGAAGUUGUAAAUGCCCUGCUUCCAGGAAAAGCCUCUAAACUUAUGAUUAUGUGAACCGUACCCCAAACCGACACAGGUGGUCAGGUAGAGAAUACUAAGGCGCUUGAGAGAACUCGGGUGAAGGAACUCGGCAAAAUCGUACCGUAACUUCGGGAGAAGGUACGCCCCUGUUCGUGAUUGGACUUGCUUCAUGAGCGAAUGGGGGCCGCAGUGAAAUGGUGGCUGGGACUGUUUAUUAAAAACACAGCACUGUGCUAAAUCGAAAGAUGACGUAUACGGUGUGACACCUGCCCGGUGCCGGAAGGUUAAUUGAUGGGGUUAGCGUAAGCGAAGCUCUUGAUCGAAGCCCCGGUAAACGGCGGCCGUAACUAUAACGGUCCUAAGGUAGCGAAAUUCCUUGUCGGGUAAGUUCCGACCUGCACGAAUGGUGUAACCAUGGCCACGCUGUCUCCACCCGAGACUCAGUGAAAUUGAAAUUGCUGUGAAGAUGCAGUGUACCCGCGGCUAGACGGAAAGACCCCGUGAACCUUUACUACAGCUUGGCACUGAACAUUGACCCUACAUGUGUAGGAUAGGUGGGAGACUUUGAAGCUUCGUCGCUAGAUGGAGUGGAGUCAACCUUGAAAUACCACCCUUGUACGUUUGAUGUUCUAACAUUGGUCCCUUAUCGGGAUUGUGGACAGUGUCUGGUGGGUAGUUUGACUGGGGCGGUCUCCUCCCAAAGAGUAACGGAGGAGCACGAAGGUUGGCUAAUCAUGGUCGGACAUCAUGAGGUUAGUGCAAUGGCAUAAGCCAGCUUAACUGCGAGACAGACACGUCGAGCAGGUACGAAAGUAGGUCAUAGUGAUCCGGUGGUUCUGAAUGGAAGGGCCAUCGCUCAACGGAUAAAAGGUACUCCGGGGAUAACAGGCUGAUACCGCCCAAGAGUUCAUAUCGACGGCGGUGUUUGGCACCUCGAUGUCGGCUCAUCACAUCCUGGGGCUGAAGUCGGUCCCAAGGGUAUGGCUGUUCGCCAUUUAAAGUGGUACGCGAGCUGGGUUUAGAACGUCGUGAGACAGUUCGGUCCCUAUCUGCCGUGGGCGCUGGAUGAUUGAGAGGGGCUGCUCCUAGUACGAGAGGACCGGAGUGGACGAACCGCUGGUGUUCGGGUUGUCAUGCCAAUGGCAUUGCCCGGUAGCUACGUUCGGAAUUGAUAACCGCUGAAAGCAUCUAAGCGGGAAGCAAGCCUCGAGAUGAGUCAUCCCUGACAGUUUAACUGUCCAGAAGGGUUGUUGAAGACUACAACGUUGAUAGGCAGGGUGUGGAAGCACAGUAAUGUGUUAAGCUAACCUGUACUAAUUGCCCGUGAGACUUAACCAU
rnacentral:rRNA from 1 species